AAAUUGAAGAGUUUGAUCAUGGCUCAGAUUGAACGCUGGCGGCAGGCCUAACACAUGCAAGUCGAACGGUAACAGAAAGCAGCUUGCUGCUUUGCUGACGAGUGGCGGACGGGUGAGUAAUGUCUGGGAAACUGCCUGAUGGAGGGGGAUAACUACUGGAAACGGUAGCU
rnacentral:rRNA from 1 species